rnacentral:lncRNA from 1 species
AAGAUAACACAAACUGCAGCAACGUUUUUUUUCUUGGAAAAACCAAAUAUGAAUAUAUAAUAGAGAAAAUAUGGAAGGAAAAAGACUAACUACAAGCUGUAAUUAGACCAGUCCCUCCACAGUACAUGAAAUAUCCUCGUCACACUGAUUGCUUAGCGAAGACUCUUUUUCUUGAUCUGUUUUUUUCCCGCUACUUGCAGCUUAGUUUGGGUUUAGAUCUCAAAACUCUGCUGUGCUCGCCUUCACAUUUGACGGGAACCAUUUUACGGUGACCCUUGCGGUGGUUUUUGGACCCACGCAAGAGCUUUGGUUGUGCAGCGGCAAGUGUCUGGAAGAUGGAGAAAGAAAGGGGUAAAUCUGGAAAAGUGAAGAAGGGAAAGAGAGAAAAAAAGUUUAAAAAGAGCAAAAAAUCUUAACCAAUGAUUUAAAAAACGAAUAAAUCUAAGGGACCAUAUUACUUUCCCAUGGUGGAAGACCUAUUUAGCCUGCGUCGUAUAAAAGAUGACAUUUUGAACUUGUGACUGAAAUGAUAAUUAUCAAGUUAAAUCAUAUUUAAAUGGUCAAGCUUAAAAAACAAAUAAAUGCGAACUCAGACUGCACCUGAUUUGUCUUUUCUCGUAAGUACAUCUAUUAGAUUUAACAAGGG